rnacentral:rRNA from 1 species
ACAGGUUGUUCUUGCUGGCCUCCCCUAGGGAGGCAUGUGCACACCUGUCAUCUUUUGUUUCUCCAACUAUGUGCACACAUUGUAGGCCCUCCUUUAUAAAGUCUUUCUUGUAUGGAUUUGAUUGAGGAUUGCUAUGCCAUGCUUUCCUUGCAGGGGGCUUAUUCUUCAUUUACCUUGUUGUUGUUUUUGAAUGGAAAUGAUAAUAAAAUUUUAUACAACUUUCAGCAACGGAUCUCUUGGCUCUCGCAUCGAUGAAGAACGCAGCGAAAUGCGAUAAGUAAUGUGAAUUGCAGAAUUCAGUGAAUCAUCGAAUCUUUGAACGCAUCUUGCGCUCCUUGGUAUUCUGAGGAGCAUGCCUGUUUGAGUGUCAUUAAAACUUCUCAAAACCAUAAUCAAGAUAAUUGAUGUGGCUUUUGGAUGAUGGGGGUUUUUGCAGGCUUUUUGAAAAGUCAGCUCUCCUGAAAUGUAUUAGUGGUAUCUGAGGGGCUACUUUGGGCAUGAUAAAAUUUGUCUAUGUCUUUUUUAAUAGUCUCAAUAUGAACGCUUG